GUUGCCCUGUGUUCCUGCGGCGAUUACUGCCAGCGAUGCCACAAAUACUAUGAAGUCUACAGAGAAGAUCAGAGAGACAGAGGAAGAGGGUCUUACCAGGAUGAAGAGGCCUUGGUUGGCAAACUUGUGGUGGUCGGGGAUGGUGGAGAACACGGACAACACCAAGCAGCUGAACACCAGCAGAAAACUGAAACACAUACAUCCCGCACAGCUCUUCUGCGACACUGGAGAAUUGAGAGGUCUCCACUUGACAAUCUUCAUCAUUAACUCUGGCUCAAGACGAGAAAAACAUCAAUGUACAUUUUCUUUUCUGCAGACUUGAAGGUUUUGAAGAAAAAAGCACCGUCCAACAUCUCUUCAAAUUACUAAAACUGUUACCACAUACUGUAAGUGUCACACACAGCUGUUACAUCUAUGAUGUGAGUUCCUCCUUUAGGAAAAUGAAAGACAGAGUGUUCCCUGGUCAAAUCUUUUUGGGAACAGGUUGUUAACUACCUGUCAAAUAGAAAAUAUUUCUUGGUGCUAAAAAUGAUUUUCCUCAGUUAAGAUGAUGCCUUAACUUUAACCUCAAAGUAAAAACAUUUAUGUUUGGAAUGGUUUGCUCCUGAAAGGAAAUAUGUGGCAUUUAUGCGGCAACAGCCACUGUCUGUCCCACUUAACCAGUGGAAAAAGUUAUUGUUAGACGUCGUUUCAGUGGAACUGUUGGCAGCGAGAAUAAAAAGAGUAUUUGCCAGAGAGUAGAGGCGGAAUUGUGUUGUAAAUUAGGUUAGGUUAAACUUUAAAUAUGGUCUGUAAUACCAUUUUUGUAUUUUCUUCAUCUGUCAAGCAUCGUGUGAUGUCAGGCCAGAAAAUAAU